UGACAGGGCCACAGCCAAGCCCAUCUUGGUGCUGCUGCCCGUGCUGGGGCUGACGUGGGUGUGUGGGGUCCUUGUCCACCUCAGCAUUGUCUGGGCCUAUGUCUUCAUCGUGCUCAACUCCCUCCAGGGCCUGUAUAUAUUCCUGGUCUAUGCAAUCUAUAACAGCGAGGUGAGGAAUGCCAUCCAGAGGAUGAAGGACAAGAAGAAAGCACUCUCAUUCACAAACUGCUCUCAUCCCAUCAACUACUUAUCAAGUCCAAGAAACACAACCUCCUGGGAGACCGGGAAACUGAGUCCUGCAGCUGAGAGUGCCUUGUCGAGCCCUGUGCAGAAAGAUCCACCAGUGAAGAACAUCACCAACAAAGGCAACUUUGGAGCCAAAAUUCCCAUGGGGAUUUCAUCAAUUAUGUCACCAGAGAGACCGGCCGUAGAGCUGACAGCAUUCAAAUCCUCAGGUUUCUGAGAGGCGGUUUCUGGGUGCCACAAUGCUGUGGUGGCCUUCGAGCAGCCUGGAGGAUGGCGGGGCAGAGGAGCUGGCUUCGUGCGGAGGGCCUCGCGUCCAGGCAGAGCUGUUAACCCUGUGCUUCUUCCUAGCAGCAUGUGCGGACAAAGCCAAGGCAGGACUGGGGUAGCUGGGGGUCUCACG
rnacentral:lncRNA from 1 species